rnacentral:rRNA from 1 species
AUACCGGGGUAUAGCCCAUGGAAACGUGGAUUAACACCCCAUAGUACUUUUAUCCUGCAUGGGAUGUGAGUUAAAUGUUCAAGGUAUCGGAUGGGCAUGCGUCCUAUUAGUUAGUUGGCGGGGUAACGGCCCACCAAGACGAUGAUAGGUAGGGGUUCUGAGAGGAAGGUCCCCCACAUUGGAACUGAGACACGGUCCAAACUCCUACGGGAGGCAGCAGUGAGGAAUAUUGGUCAAUGGACGAGAGUCUGAACCAGCCAAGUCGCGUGAGGGAAGACUGCCCUAUGGGUUGUAAACCUCUUUUAUAAGGGAAGAAUAAGUUCUACGUGUAGAAUGAUGCCUGUACCUUAUGAAUAAGCAUCGGCUAACUCCGUGCCAGCAGCCGCGGUAAUACGGAGGAUGCGAGCGUUAUCCGGAUUUAUUGGGUUUAAAGGGUGCGUAGGCGGUUUAUUAAGUUAGUGGUUAAAUAUUUGAGCUAAACUCAAUUGUGCCAUUAAUACUGGUAAACUGGAGUACAGACGAGGUAGGCGGAAUAAGUUAAGUAGCGGUGAAAUGCAUAGAUAUAACUUAGAACUCCGAUAGCGAAGGCAGCUUACCAGACUGUAACUGACGCUGAUGCACGAGAGCGUGGGUAGCGAACAGGAUUAGAUACCCUGGUAGUCCACGCCGUAAACGAUGCUCACUGGUUCUGUGCGAUAUAUUGUACGGGAUUAAGCGAAAGUAUUAAGUGAGCCACCUGGGGAGUACGUCGGCAACGAUGAAACUCAAAGGAAUUGACGGGGGCCCGCACAAGCGGAGGAACAUGUGGUUUAAUUCGAUGAUACGCGAGGAACCUUACCUGGGUUUAAAUGGGAAAUGUCGUAUUUGGAAACAGAUAUUCUCUUCGGAGCGUUUUUGAAGGUGCUGCAUGGUUGUCGUCAGCUCGUGCCGUGAGGUGUCGGGUUAAGUCCCAUAACGAGCGCAACCCUUACCGUUAGUUGCUAGCAGGUAAUGCUGAGCACUCUAACGGGACUGCCACCGUAAGGUGUGAGGAAGGUGGGGAUGACGUCAAAUCAGCACGG